rnacentral:rRNA from 1 species
ACUUAAGCAUAUCAAUAAGCGGAGGAAAAGAAACUAACGAGGAUUCCCCUAGUAACUGCGAGUGAAGCGGGAUGAGCUCAAAUUUUGAAUCUGGCGGUCUCGGGGCCGUCCGAGUUGUAAUCUAGAGAAGCGUGUUCCGCGCCGGCGCCGUGUACAGGUCUCCUGGAAGGGAGCAUCGUAGAGGGUGACAAUCCCGUCUUCGACACGGAGAGGACCGGUGCUAUGCGAUGCGCUCUCGACGAGUCGAGUUGUUUGGGAAUGCAGCUCCAAACGGGUGGUAAACUCCAUCUAAAGCUAAAUACUGGCGAGAGACCGAUAGCGAACAAGUACCGUGAGGGAAAGAUGAAAAGGACUUUGGAAAGAGAGUCAAACAGUACGUGAAAUUGCUGGAAGGGAAACGCUGCGACUCAGUCGCGUCCCUCGGGGAUCAACCCUGCGAUCCGUCGCUGGGCGUACUUCUCGGCGGGACGGGUCAACAUCGAUCUCGGUCGUCGUAGAAGGACGGGAGCGAAAGUGGCACUCUUCCUCGGAGUGUGUUAUAGCCUCUCGGUCGGAAUGCGGCGACGUCGGGAUCGAGGAACUCGGUACGACCGAACUCUUUCGGGGGUGAGGUUCGGGGCUCUCGCUCACGAUCGACGUACCUAGGAUGUUGGCGUAAUGGCUCGGAGCGACCCGUCUUGAAACACGGACCAAGGAGUCUAACGUGCGUGCGAGUGUUCGGGUGGCAAACCCGAGCGCGAAACGAAGGUGAAAGUCGAGAUCUCGGUCACCCGAGAGCAUCGACGCCCGGACCCGAGCCUUCGGUGAGGGAUCCGCGGUGGAGCACGUACGUCGGGACCCGAAAGAUGGUGAACUAUGCCUGAAUAGGGCGAAGCCAGAGGAAACUCUGGUGGAGGCUCGUAGCGAUUCUGACGUGCAAAUCGAUCGUCGAAUUCGGGUAUAGGGGCGAAAGACUAAUCGAACCAUCUAGUAGCUGGUUCCUGCCGAAGUUUCCCUCAGGAA